rnacentral:tRNA from 1 species
GGAGAUGUGGUCUAGUGGUCGGGCGCAGGCACCUCGAUUCAUUAGAGGUGGGCGAUUCAUUGGUCCAUGCUUCAUUCAUUGAUAAUAGGCAUGUCCUGCACGUAGGUUCGAUUCCUACCUUCUCCA